UACGUAGGGUGCAAGCGUUAAUCGGAAUUACUGGGCGCAAAGCGUACGCAGGCGGCUUUGCAAGACAGGUGUGAAAUCCCCGGGCCUAACCUGGGAACUGCAUUUGUGACUGCAUGGCUAGAGUUUGUCAGAGGGGGGGUGGAAUUCCACGUGUAGCAGUGAAAUGCGUAGAUAUGUGGAGGAACACCGAUGGCGAAGGCAGCCCCCUGGGAUGUGACUGACGCUCAUGUACGAAAGCGUGGGGAGCAAACAGG
rnacentral:rRNA from 1 species